UUUUGUUUGCUCUCCAAGAAAAUGCAUCUUGUUCAAGGAGAAAGUGACCUUUUUGUUUAUAGAAUAGGAUUGGCAUCAGCAGAGCUUUGAACUGGUCACAUAGAUGAGGAAUUUAAUUUUCAUAUACAUGAUCACAUGCAGACAUGUGUUAAAUAUAUCGUAUUAGAAAAUUUUGAGUAGUUGUUUUAAACGUUUUUUUUUUUUUUUUUUGACUUUUGCCCUGCUCCUUCCAGGUCCAUAUUGAAGAGAUGAUCAGCUUAGCCAAGAUUUGACUUCAUUCCCAAGUGUGGUUUUAUUCUUGGAGUUGGGAAAAAACCACCAUUGUUCUUCUUAUUUAGAAUAUAUAUAUAUAUAGCUCUGAAUUGUCCUUUUAGCUCUUACUAAUUUGGGUUUGGCUAAAAAGUCUGAAUCAAAUUGAGGAUAAAUGAUAUUCCUGGAUGAAUUGAAUUGAUUGUUACGGAUUUGUAGUUCAAAUUCCACUGCCCAUUCAAAAAUAGCUUCAGUACUCAAUUUUCUCUUCUGUACACACCACCUUCAAUAUUUUAGACAUUCUCUGUGUUUCUUUCAUCACUGGAUUAUAAAAAAAGAAAACUAUAUAUGAAAUGUUUACUACUAUAUAUAUAGGCCUAUCUAGCAGCAAACUCCUCAAACAGAGAGUUAAUUUUUCUCACAAGUCCUCCCCCUGAGGAACAGAAAGAGAAAAAUGGAAUCAGAGAGAAUUUUUGAGACAGAAGAUAUUCACAUUUGAGUGAUUUGAGUUCCAUCAGCACUAGAAUUCAUUAACCAAACAGUCUGUACUGUGGAAUAGGUUGGUGCCAAUGGAGAGUAGUGAUAUUAGCAGAGUAACUAGUGGACGUAUUACUGCUUCUAACAUACUCAGGAACAGCUCUGUGGAAGUUUUCUCGAGGUCUUCUCGGGAAGAAGAUGAUGAAGAAGCCCUGAAAUGGGCUGCUCUCGAGAAACUGCCUACAUUCCUUCGUAUACAGAGAGGCAUCCUCACUGAAGAAAAGGGCCAGACAAGGGAAAUUAAUAUAAAGAGCCUUGGGUUGCCAGAGAGGAAGAAUCUGAUCCAGCGGCUUGUGAAGAUUGAUGGGCAUGAUAAUGAGAAGUUCUUGUUGAAGCUCAAGGAGCGGAUUGAUCGGUAAUUUUCAUCAAAAUAAUAAUUUUCAAAUCUUUUUAGUUCUCAGAUAAUCAUAAUGUUUCAAAUUCUUGAGUAUUGUGUCUAUGUUGUCAGUCCCCUGUUUUUGGGUUGUAUGAAUUAGAAAAUUUUCAUCAUUGGUAUGCUUGUUUUUGCUUUUUCAAACAGAGUUGGACUUGAUAUUCCAACGGUUGAAGUUCGAUUCGAGCACUUAACAGUUGAUGCAGAGGCUUAUGUUGGAAGCAGAGCAUUACCCACUAUAUUCAACUUCUCAGCAAAUAUUUUGGAGGUAGUUCAUCUUCCAGACCAUACAGAUUUAUGUAUAUAAUUCUUAUGCUUUCCACCUUUUUAUUUGCAAAUCAGACUCACCAAAGAUAAUUUCUUUCUGAAGGGGUUCUUGAAUUAUCUUCACAUUCUUCCUAGUAGAAAGAAACCCUUCUCAAUCCUCCAUGAUGUUAGUGGAAUCAUCAAACCUCGCAGGUGAGAAUCAUGGAAUAAAUCACAAUUGUUCAUUAUUGACACUCCAACCAGUACAUUUUUCAUAGGUUUGAUCCGGUUUUUGUAGAAUGACUUUGCUUCUAGGACCUCCAAGCUCUGGGAAGACUACACUGUUAUUAGCUUUGGCAGGAAGACUUGGUUCAGAUCUGAAGGUAAGAAGAACUCAUUCCAAUCUCUACUAAUUUUUCGGAACUUUUUCAUUCUGUGACAAGAUAUUGAUACUUAUGAGAUUUCAGGUUUCGGGCCGAGUUACCUACAAUGGCCAUGGAAUGGAUGAGUUUGUUCCACAGAGGACUUCAGCUUAUACAAGUCAAUAUGAUCUUCAUGCUGGAGAAAUGACAGUGCGAGAAACAUUAGAUUUUUCAGCUAGAUGUCAGGGGGUUGGAGGCCUUUCUGGUCAGUUUCAAUGCCAUGAAGUUUUACUUAUUGUGCUCGGUUGAAAGAAUUCCAGUGGAUGGGAAUGAAUUUGUUUCAAAUUUGGAUAUUUUGCAGAUAUGUUAGCCGAAUUAUCAAGAAGAGAGAAGGCUGCAAACAUUAAGCCUGAUCCUGAUAUUGAUAUCUACAUGAAGGUGCUGAGAAAACACAGCUAGAACUAAAAUUUUAAUCAUCAGCAUAUUUUCUUGCCUGCAAUCCUUAAUAAUUGGUGUAGGGAAUAUGUUUUCAUACAUAGGCUGCAGCACUAGAAGGGCAGAAGACCAGUGUAGUCACAGAAUAUAUGCUCAAGGUACCAAUUUUGAAUGCAUGCAGAAUACUGAAAAUGUUUUCAAAGAUGACAAAAAUCUGAAAAUUUUCUGUUUCUGUUUUGAAAACUUGGAAGAUUCUAGGACUUGAAAUCUGCGCCGAUACAUUGGUGGGGGAUGUAAUGAAACAAGGCAUAUCCGGCGGACAAAAAAAGCGACUCACAACAGGUGAUAAGCAUAAAACAUCUUAUUUAUUCCAACGGAAGUGACACACCAUAUCUUUGCAUCUUUUCAACUGAAUCCCUAAUUUUUCUAGACAUUUUACCUAUGAUCAGUGAAUUUGAAUCUGAAAAAAAGCUAAAACAAGGAGCUACAUUUGCUUGAUACAGGGGAGAUACUGGUUGGACCAGCCAGAGCACUUUUCAUGGAUGAGAUAUCAACUGGUUUGGAUAGUUCAACAGCUUUUCAGAUUGUAAAUUCACUCAGGCAGUCCAUCCAUAUUCUUAAUGGAACUGCUCUUAUCUCUCUCCUCCAACCAGCACCAGAAACAUACAACCUAUUUGAUGAUAUAAUUCUCCUUUCUGAUGGAAAAAUUGUGUAUCAAGGUCCCUGUGAAAAUGUGCUCGAGUUCUUUGGAUACAUGGGCUUCAAAUGUCCAGAAAGGAAAGGAGUGGCUGACUUCUUACAAGAAGUAAUUCUAAUACUUGAAUCACAUUUUCUUCUCAUAUCCAUUCCUGAUCUUUAAAGCUCAAUGGGCUUACCAUUUUCUUUUGGCAUUGCACCAUAGGUGACAUCAAGGAAGGAUCAAGAGCAGUACUGGGCGCGUAAGGACGAGCCUUAUAGCUACGUUACUGUCAAGGAAUUCGCUGAAGCGUUUCAAUCAUUUCAUAUUGGUCAGAAACUAGGUGAUGAGCUUGCUGUGCCAUUCGAUAAGACCAAAGGCCACCCUGCUGCUUUGACAACCAAAAAAUAUGGUAUUAGCAAGAGAGAACUGUUGAGAGCUUGCACAUCCAGGGAAUUCUUGCUUAUGAAGAGGAAUUCAUUUGAAGAGGAAUUCAUUUGUCUAUAUUAAGUAGAAUUGAUGCACUAAACUUUCAGUUCUGACGAUUUAAAUGAACUAUGAAAAUUCAGAAUCAUUUUGAGAGUUGACUGUAAUUCCUUUUUUUUCUUUUUUUUCAGCUUAUUAUUGUGGCUUUUAUAAACAUGACAUUGUUUCUCCGAACUGAGAUGUCGCGAAAUACAGUAGAAGAUGGGGGGAUUUUCAUGGGUGCCCUUUUCUUUGCAGUCUUGAUGAUUAUGUUCAAUGGAUUCACAGAGCUUCCCAUGACCAUCUUCCAACUUCCAGUCUUUUACAAGCAAAGGGACCUUCUCUUCUUUCCCUCCUGGGCAUACUCUCUACCUAAAUGGAUCCUCAAGAUGCCAAUCGCAUUUGCUGAAGUUGGUGCCUGGGUGAUCAUGACUUAUUAUGUCAUAGGCUUUGAUCCAAACAUAGAAAGGUAACCCCCCAAAAUGGGAAAUCAGGAUCCAACUUCUUGUUUAAAAUUUUUAGUAUCCUGACUUAUUCAAAGUUCUAAAUGGCAGGUUCUUCAAGCAAUAUUUGCUACUGCUAUGCAUUCACCAGAUGGCUUCAGGACUUCUUCGGUUGAUGGCGGCAUUGGGAAGGAACAUCAUAGUUGCAAACACAUUUGGCUCAUUUGCAUUACUUGUAGUCAUGGUUUUGGGUGGAUUUGUCUUGUCAAAAGGUGUAAACAGAAGGAAAAUUGGAGUUCAAUUCAAAUAACAGUUCUUUCUUCAUGGCAAUAUAACUUGUACUCACAUAUGAAAAUCAAUUUUCUUCCCUCUCAGAUGAUGUGAAGACAUGGUGGGAAUGGGGUUAUUGGGUCUCACCUUUGAUGUAUGGGCAGAAUGCUAUUAGUGUGAAUGAAUUCCUUGGGAACAGCUGGAGACAUGUAAGCUUCAAUUUCAUAAUGAAGGGAAAAUUGUUCUGAUCAUUAUCUGCUAAAACUUCAUUCAAUUUUUUAUGUUACAGGUUCCGGCUAACUCAACAGAAUCAUUAGGAGUUCUAGUCUUGAAAGCUCGUGGGGUUUUCACAGAACCACACUGGUAUUGGCUGGGAGUAGGAGCUUUGAUUGGAUAUGUGCUCCUAUUCAAUUUCCUCUUCACUUUGGCUCUAUCAUAUCUAAAUCGUAAGUUUUCUUUCUUCUGUUGUAAACUUCCCAAAACUUGGAAUAAUUUUUCUAAUAAUUUGAUCAAUCUGCUGCAGCAUUUGGGAAGUCUCAACCAAUUCUAUCCAAAGAGACCUUAACUGAGAAACAAGCUAACAGAACAGAAGAGUUGAUUGAGCUGUCACCAGGUAGGAAGAGCUCUGCUGGUUGGUCAUUAACUUCACAUUUAUAUGUUUAUGCCCAUAACAUAUACAAUUUGAUAAACAAUACAGAAACGGGAGCAAGAAUUCAAAGUGGAUCAUCCAGGUCAUUGUCUGCAAGAGUGGGCUCCAUUACUGAAGCUGACCAGAGCAGGAAAAGGGGAAUGGUUCUUCCUUUCGAACCUCUGUCUAUCUCUUUUGAUGAAAUCAGAUAUGCAGUGGACAUGCCACAGGUACCUUUUCUGAGUUUUAAUCAAGAAACUAUGUUUUUGGUCUAGACUGUAGGGGAUUUUUCAUACUAAAGAACCAACUAAUCGUCACAUUUUCUGGAUUAUUUGAUGAUUGAUACUAUGCAGGAAAUGAAAGCACAAGGCAUCACUGAGGACAGAUUGGAACUUUUGAGAGGCGUGAGCGGUUCAUUCAGGCCAGGAAUCCUUACAGCCCUAAUGGGUGUUACCGGUGCUGGAAAAACUACUCUGAUGGAUGUAUUGGCCGGAAGAAAAACCAGUGGAUAUAUUGAAGGAAUUAUCAAAGUGUACGGGUACCCAAAGAAACAGGAAACUUUUGCUCGUGUGUUGGGAUAUUGUGAGCAAACUGAUAUCCACUCUCCUCACGUUACAGUCUAUGAGUCCUUGCUUUAUUCUGCAUGGCUUCGGUUACCUUCUGAAGUCGAUUCGGCAACCAGGAAGGUUCACAUUCUAAUUGAUAGAGGGCCUAGGGAACUAAGACAAAAUAUUCAGAAUACAAAAGAUGAAGUUCAAUUUAAGCAUAUCAGAUGAUACUGACUUGUAUUCCAACUAAUUGGUUGCAGAUGUUCAUUGAGGAGGUUAUGGAGCUUGUGGAACUAAACUCAUUGAGGGAAGCACUUGUUGGAUUGCCCAGUGAAAAUGGUCUGUCAACAGAGCAGCGCAAGAGACUGACCAUUGCAGUUGAGCUUGUUGCCAACCCAUCUAUAAUAUUCAUGGAUGAGCCAACAUCUGGGCUUGAUGCCAGGGCAGCAGCAAUAGUGAUGAGAACAGUGAGGAACACAGUGGACACAGGAAGAACUGUAGUGUGCACCAUCCACCAGCCAAGCAUAGAUAUAUUUGAUGCCUUUGAUGAGGUGAGAUGUCCUUUUAUAGGAUUAAAAAAAAACAAAUUAUCUACUUUCAUUUCCAAGUUUAAUGAAAGGACUAAGUAUUUCAAUCUCAAAUUGCAGCUACUUCUCUUGAAACGGGGAGGCGAAGAAAUUUACGCAGGCCCAAUAGGUCGCCAUUCUUCCCAUCUGAUCAAGUACUUUGAGGUGAGGCUAACAGGGACAUGAUUCAUACUAUGACGGUUUUAUUUCCUAUACUUUCUCCUCAUAUGGUUUUGGAUCUUAUCAUGUAGGGAAUUAAUGGAGUUAGUAAGAUUAAAGAUGGUUAUAACCCAUCAACUUGGAUGUUAGAGGUGACUUCGGCAGCACAAGAGGUAGCUCUAGGAGUGAACUUCACUGAAGAAUACAAGAACUCAGAACUGUAUAGGUAGGAGGAUCAAACUCUCAAGUCUAUUUCAAAAUUGGUCAUGGUUGGAACACAGCUUAAAGUUUUGAAAUAGGCAAAAUCAAGGGGAAGAAUGACAACAUUCUUGAAGAUCUGCCUUACUUUUGCAGUUUUGAUAUUAACACCCUACUGUGAAUGCAUCAGGAGAAACAAGGCAUUGAUCAAGGAACUGAGUUCACCCCCUCCAGGGUCAAAAGACCUUUACUUCUCAACUCAAUAUUCACAAUCUUUCUUCACACAAUGUUUGGCUUGCCUAUGGAAACAGCACUGGUCAUAUUGGAGAAACCCAGCAUACACUGCCGUGAGAUUGUUCUUCACAACCUUCAUAGCUUUAAUGCUUGGGACAAUAUUCUGGGAUUUUGGCUCCAAAAGGUAAUUUCCAAAUAACUAAUACCUAUGAUGGGAUAGUGAAUAGUUUCUAAUCUCCAGUCCUAAUUUGAUUAUAAUUUUGGGAGUUGUAGGAAAAGGCAACAGGAUCUCUUCAAUGCAAUGGGUUCUAUGUAUGCUGCAGUUAUCUCCAUAGGGAUACAAAAUGCCUCAUCUGUACAGGCAGUUGUAGCCAUUGAGAGAACAGUCUUUUACAGAGAAAGAGCAGCUGGAAUGUAUUCACCUUUCCCAUAUGCCUUUGGACAGGUAAGCAAUAAGAAUAAAAGCCUUCUUUUCCAAACUUUCAGAAUAAGAAAUGGCCCUGACCAAAUCCCCAUUUCUCUGCAGGUUAUGAUUGAGCUCCCACACAUAUUCAUCCAAACCAUCAUCUAUGGACUUAUAGUAUAUGCCAUGGUUGGGUUUGAGUGGACAGUCACUAAAUUCUUCUGGUAUCUUUUCUUCAUGUACUUCACCUUCUUAUACUUCACAUUCUAUGGGAUGAUGGCAGUAGCCAUUACUCCUAACCAACACAUCUCCGGCAUAGUUUCCUCUGCUUUCUAUGGAUUAUGGAACCUCUUCUCGGGAUUCAUCAUUCCGCACACAGUAAGUACAAACGAUUUCUACCCGGGUGAUAUCACAAUUAAUAAGGACUAACCUGUUUCCUCCCAUUUUUUUUCCCUUUGACAGAGGAUUCCAGUGUGGUGGAAAUGGUACUUCUGGUCAUGUCCGGUGUCUUGGACUUUGUAUGGAUUGCUUGUCACACAAUUUGGGGACAUAAAGGAGAGGCUUGAGAGUGGGGAAAGAGUAGAAGAUUUCGUAAGGAGCUACUUUGGGUAUAGAAAUGACUUUGUGGGAGUUGUUGCAGGCAUCGUAGUUGGGAUAACUGUGCUGUUUGGAUUCAUCUUCGCCUACUCAAUCAGGGCUUUUAACUUCCAGAAAAGAUGAGAAUGACCCCAUGCAGAAGAAAUAUAUAUAGACACUUCUGUUUCAUGAAUCCUAGAGAUGUUAAAUUUGAAGACAGGAGCUUCAGUCUAGCUAUAUCCUAUUUAGGUUGCAGAGAUUUGUUCUUCUUUAUUUUGGUUUCUUAUUUUCAUUUGACAAUGAAGCCAAUUUAGUGGAAAAGCAUUAGAUCCAUGUAAUGAUCUUGAUUAGUAUGCAUUGAGUUAGAGUGAAAAGCAUCUAGAAACUGAUGGAAAAUUCCAAGGUUGAAUUCGAUUGUGCAAAAGUAUCACAUCAAUUCAUUUAUGUUUUUCAAACAGUGCCUUAGAGCCCGUUUGAUAAUGAUUUUAAGAAGCGUUUUUAAUUUAAAAGCGUUUUUGAAAGAACAUUAGGUAUUUGACAAAAUUUAGGAAACACUUGUAAAAAUUUGAAAAAACGGUUAGAAUGUGUUUGAUAGUAAUAUUGAUAAAUGUUUCCAACAUUUCUAAUACUUGAAAAAUAAAAAUUUUCAAGUGUUAGAAAUGUUGAAAAACACUUACCAGAAUCAGUGUCAAACGCAUUCUUAUAGUGUUGAAAAAUCACUUAUAGUAUUUCUUAGAGAAACAUUUUAUAGACAAUUCUUUAAAAAAUGCUUCAUAAGAAAACACUUUGACUAAAAACACUUUGAGUAGAAAUACUCUCAAGCAUACUCUUAGUCUCUCAUAUGGUAGUUUUCACACUUACAUUCCAUAAGAAAAACUAAAGAAAUCUAUAUUGAAAGGUAAAUAAGAACAAAGGUCCAAUGAAAUCUAUACACAAAAGCAUAAAAGCCCUCCUAACCUAAUAAAAAGUAUUUAUAUCAUAACCUUAAAAUGACAUUUAACACAUUUUCAUUAGCCACAUAAACCAAAGUAUUCUUUAAAAACCCUCAUUCACUAAAACAAUCUCUAAAAUUAUAAUUUUUUAUUUGAAAAAUGCAAUAGUCUAGGUCAAAUCAAUUUUGUACAUAUCUGAAAUUAAAAUUUUGAUGUGAAACCGAUUUCUCUUGAAAUCUUGAACUCCCAAAUAGGUUUCAAGAUCUCAUAAAUCAAAAUUUUGAUGCCACAUACUGGUUGCUCCUCCACAUGUUAUUCUCAAAUUGAUUUGAAAUCAGAAAACCGAUUUGACACACUACCUUGAUUGAAACAUCUAUCGUUGAAAUUGAUUUUUUUUUUUUAAAUCGAUUUGUUAUGGUCCACACUAAUUUUGCAUUAGUGAUGGUAGUUUUGCGGACUAUCCGAGUAACCCACCCUGCCCCACUCCUAUUGGGAUGGUUAUGCUCAAUGAUAAUCAAGGAUGGGAUGGGUUUGGGAAAUUUUUCAAAACCCGAAUCGGGUUUAAGGCGGGGAUGGGUUUUGUACCACCCCACCCCACUCGCCUUACCAAGUUACAAAUUUAGCAUUCAAAUUUUAUAAAAUAUCAAACAACUUCCUAUUAUAAAUAAUGUCUUUUUUCAUAUUUGCCUCAUACCAGCCAUUGCUCUCCUCUCAUCUCUACAUAUUGCCCAUUUCUACUUCAAGCUUCAGAAAUCCAUCUUCAAGGAUAAAGCCAGGAAGAGCAACAAAAUCAAGAAACAUUCAUGAAGAAACCCUUUUCUCUUCUUCAAAUAUAAGUGGAAUCACAACGAUGAUUGGCUCGAUUGCAAUUGCAACAACUUCGAUAUUCAUUGUCAAAGCCUUCAAAGCCUCCAUUUCAAGCCCUCUUUUCUUUAGAAGGUUUGGGUUUUGAUUUGGUUUUUAACCCUAGUUAUAUUUUAGGGUUUUAUCCAAUUGGAUUGUGUAGAAAUAUUUGAUUUUUAUGGAAAUUUUUUAUGAUUUUUCCUUUUUAAUUUUAGUUUUGGUUUGAUAAUCAACUUUCAUCCCAUAUUAUUCCAAGUGUGAAUCUAUCUCAAGUCUCAAACCCAUUCUUUUUUUUUUUUUUCCAAUAUUUUCUUAAGACCAUUGUGGUCUCUCCAAAUUUUUUUGGUGUUUUUUGCUUUUUAAGAAAAGUGUAUAAGUAUGAAAAUUGUGAAUUUUUUCAUUGAGAAUUUUGUGAAUUGAUGUAAUGUCCUUGGUUUUGGGAAAAUCAUCCUCCUCAUCCAAAUAGAAAUACAUAACUAGGUUGAGAUAUGCGGGAAUGGGUUUAUCAUUUUUUCUAUAAACAAGGAUGGGGACUCAUCAACAUACCCCGGCUCGGGUUUGGGACAAGGAUGGGGAAGGAUUAUAUAAUUGGGAUGGGAAUAAGAUAAGGGGUGCCUCAUCCUAAUCCUGCCUUGUUGCUAUCCUUAUUUUCCAUGCUAUUGUUGAUUUUUCUUGCAUUUUCUUUUCUUAGCACUUUGUAGCUACUACUUAGGUCUCCUCCUAAGCAUACUCAUACCUCCAUUCCAUCACGCAUGCUAGGGUUGUAUCAAACCUCUCACAUCUUCUCCAUUUUCUAACUUUUCACUCAAAAAUUGUAUGUUAUACUUAAAUAUGGCAUUAGUACAAAUCUAAGCCAAAGGUAGUGAUUUGUCUAAGUUCUUCUAUCUAAAACAAAGCCAUUAACAUUUUUAUAAGUUUGAAUUUGGGCAUAAAUCAUCCCUCUCAAUUUUAUCUUUACUAGUCCUUAGAAAAAGUAAAAAAGCAAAAAUGGAGAUAAAACCAUCCAUGCAAGCUUACUAAGAUGAUAUAUUCUCAAUACAAAAGUCAUCCAUAGAUAUAAUAAUUCAAGAGUUAGGAUUAAACACAAUGUAAGUAGCUCAUAAGUAUGUCAAUCUUGUACCUUUACACACAAGCAUGCAUCCAUGUUUAGUACUUACCUAGAAAGCAUCACCCAUACUCUUAGAACAAGAUCUAAUUCCCUAAUGAUGUAUGCUCAUAAACUAUCGUUGACUCAAGUUUAUAUAACGAACAAAGUGUUGAUGGUUUCAAACUAGUUGAUUUUGAGGACCACAAUAUAAAUGCACUCGACCGGUACUCUCUCAGGAUGCUUGCUCAAGCUUACAAAAAUUCAAAUAAAAUCUUCUUGAAAUACCAAAAAAAAUCUGCCUAAUUCUGGUGGAUUCAGGACGAGUACUUGAGUGCUUGAGCGUUGGAUAACAGCAUGAGUGGCUCCACCACUUGAGCAUCCCUUGCUUUUCCAAAAUAUUAAUUUAAGUAUUUUUAAUUCAAUAAAAACAUACUAUUCACUUAACCCUUUAAACAUCUCACUUGUCACAAAUCAAACAUUUUUAAACUUACCUAUAACUUUUCAGUUGAUUGAACAAUAACUUUAAAUCUUCAAUGAAGAGUAAAUUAUUACCUAAAAAGUUUCUUAAACUAAAAAAUAAAUUAAAAUAAAAUUACCAACAAAUAAUGUAGACUUAUUGUCCUAACACUUGAGAAUUUUAAGAAUUACUAUCAUUAUCAUUUGAUUUUGGUUUAAAAAGUUAGAUGUUCUUAAUUCCUACUAGCGCAAAUGAUUACACCCAAAAACUAAUUUUUUACAAUUUGUGAUUAUCUUAAUGUUUUAAUUUAUCUAAGUAUAAAAAUAAAUAAUCAAUCACCUUAAGAAAUGUGCGUUCUACACAAGGUUCGAAAAAUUGGAAUAUUUCGCCGAAAGCAAAAUAUUGGAUAUCGGAGGUGGCUGAAAACGGCCGCCGAUUAUUGGGCUGAUUUUUUGGCGAAAAAAUUCAGAAGCGGCUGCAAGCGCGUGGGAGGAUCUCACGCAAAAAAUUGGCUAUUUUUUAAAAAAUCGCAUAUUUAUCGCGGAUAAAUCACUAUAAAUUGGGCAAUUUUUUUUUAAAAAAAAUCGCUGAUUUUAACUUUUUUUUUUUUUAAAUAUUUAUCCUUUUUAUUUUUUAAUUAUUCAUUUCUAAUUUAUCUUUUAUUUUAAAUUUAUACUAUUAUUUUAUUUUUAGCUACUUUUCAUAUUUAUCUCAUUAAUCAUAUUUUAAAAAAUCAAUAUCACUUUAAAAUAUUAAAAAUAUAAUUUUAUUUAAAAAUUGUUGAAAUAUAAAAGUUUUAAUAUUUUAUAAAUUAAAAUUAAUUUGAUAAGAUAAAUUAUUAAUAUAAUUUUUAAUAAUUUUAAUUAUUUAAAUAAAUUAAUGUUAAUAGAAAAAAUUGUAAACACAAAUUUGUAAUAAGAUUUUAGAAACUAAGGUAGUGUUUGUUUUUUGACUGAAUAGAAAAAUUGAUAUCAAACGGGUUACUUUUAAUUUAAUAGAAAAAGUCAAAUAUUUUGACUUUUUUUAUUCAAGCAAAAAACAAACAUCACCUAAAUCUCAAAUGAAUUAUUUUAUGUAGAUUAAUUUAACUUUUUAUUUAAAAUGUAUUAAUACAUGUUUUAAUAAAAGUUGUUUUUAAUUUUUAAAAUAAAUAAAUAUAAAUAUAUUAAAGAAAUUUAAACUAAUUUUUUUAUAAAAAAAAUUCAUAAAUAUUAUCUUUAAUUAUAUUUAUAUCAAUUUGUGGACCCCGUAUUUCGCUCAUGUGCUUCACUCGAUGGGGAGCUCGUUUUUUAUUUAAAAAUGAUUUUAUUUUUUUAAGAAAAUAACUUGGAGUUGCCACUUAUUUUUGUUUUAUUUUUAAAAGGUAAACAAAAUAAGAAAGAAAACCUUGUUUUUGAAAAGGUGGUUUAUGAAAAAUCGGAUCAGGGCUAGGUUACUUAUUGGGAAGGUACGGUAAAAACCGUAGCACCCCUCUAAGUCCCAAAAAGGGGUCUCUACUAAUAAAAUGAAACAAUCAUGGAAAUUGAUAAGUAGAUCACUAGAUACCGAAUGAAAAAUCAAAACAAAAUGCCCAAAUGAAUAUAAGAGGCAAAGAACGUACCUGAGUUAUGAACGAAUUUAUUUCUUUGGAAGCAAAGGUUAGUGAAUAAACAUAGAAGCAUAUCAUAGAACAGGACAAAUCCAUCACGUAUAACAAUCAAAUCAAUCAAUCAAUCAUAAAAUCACAUAUGUUGGGCCCUCACCAAUGCCCGAUCGAUCUUGUAUGAAUUAAUCGCACAAAUUCCAUUAGUUUGGAAUUAUGAAAAUUGUCUUUGUGCUUAUUGAGAAUCAAGAAGAACCGGAGAUUAUUUGGAAACCAGAGUGGACUUAAAACCGUUUAAGAGAAAAUCGGAUUUUUGAAAUUUGCUUAAAAAUUGGAGUCUCGAGGAUUUGUUUGAAAAUUGGAGUCUUGAGAAUUAAAUUUGAAGAUUGAAAAUUUAGAAACUGAAUUUGAAAGAAAUUGGAAUUGACAAUUAUUUGAGAAGUAGAAACUGUGAAAAUUUUAUUAUAUAAAUUGGAAUCUUUGGAAAUUGUUCGAAUCGAAGGUGGAAUUCUUUUGAAAAUAAACAAAUAAAAUGAGAAUAAUAAUAAUAAUAAUAAUAAAUAAAUAAAUAAAAUAAAUGUGAAAAUUGGUAUUUUGGAAAUUGGAAAUUAAGUUCGGGAAUUAGAAAACUGGAAUUUCAAAAAUUGAGAGUUGAAUUCAGGAAUUGGAAUUUUGAAGGGUUAUUUAGAGAAAGAAUUUUAAAUAAAUGAAUAAGUAAAUAAACAAAUAAACGGAAUAAUAAUAAUAACGAAAAUAAUAAUGAUUAGAUUAAUUGUGAAAAUUGGAAAUUGAAUUUAGAAAUUGGAAAUUAAAUUUGGAAAUUGGAAAUUUGAAGAAUUAUUUAAGCAGAAUUUUAAGUAAAUGAAUAAGUCAAUAAAUAAAUAAACAGAAUAAUAACAAUUACAAAAAUAAUAAUGAUUAGAUAAAUAAUUGUGAAAAUUGGAAUUUUGGAACUUGGAAAUUAAAUUUGGAAAUUUGAAGAAUUAUUUAGAAAUAAAAUUUUAAAUAAAUAAAAUAAUAAUAAUAACGAAAAUAAUAAUUAAAUAAAUGAACGUGAAUAUUGGAAUUUUUUAAAUUGGAAAUUAAAGAAUUUUGAAAAGAUAUGUAAGGAUUAAACAUAAGAGCUCCGGCAGAUUUCUGAAGAGCGACUGAGGUGCCGCUAACGUGGCAAGUCAUGGGAAUGUCGACAUCGCCCAGGAACCUAACCCCCACCAUGACAAUCGGGAUCGAAGGACGGCCUCCGGUGAGGUGGUGCAAGAUGGACGGUGUUUCGGCUUUGCUCUCUUAUUCUAAUCUUUGCUUUCACGUUGUCAAUGGUGUCGGAGCUUGCGACUUCCAAAGUAAAAGUAUUUCCGGUAAGGGUUUUGACGAAGAUCUGCAUCUUGAGACUUUGAGAGAGACGUUCUAAAGCCGCAAAAGAGGGCAAAGAGGGUUUUUCUGAUGGCUUUGAAUAUAUGGAGUCAAUGAAGGAGAGACCAUGGAGAUGGCAGAUGUGGAGACGGGCUCUGGGGAAUGAAGGGUGGAUUAGAUUAAUAUGAGGUGAGUAUCAGGGUUCAAAGUAUCGGACGAGUCGUAUCCGCCUCGACACCUGCCACGACGAGACCAGAUACGGUAUAAUACACGAACUCGACUGGGAAUCAGUUAGACUCGACUGACUUAUUUGAGUUUCUGAGUUAACUCGGUUAGAUUAUAGAGAAUUUUCAAAAUUUUCAUAAAAUUAAAAAAAUAAAUUAAUCAGAGAUUGCCCUUCCAAAAGCAAACACCUAUUCUGAAAUUUUAAACCAUCAAUGAGAAGAUCAAAGAAGAUGAAGAAGAAAAAACCUUAACCGAAGAAACCACCAAAGGAUGAGGGCAUGAUUUAGGAUUUACUUACUUGAUUUUCCUCAAAAUCGAGCAUUACCAGAGGGUGGAGCUUUGGUGUCGACAGUGGUGACUUGUGAAGUGGACUGAAUAUUUCAUUAGCGACGUGGACAAGACAACCCCUCACAAUCAGAUUGCUCCUCCUCCCAUGUUAGGAAUGGUUACAAAUUUGCGAUUGCAAGUGGUGUUGUCUGUUGUGGGUCUUGACAGCAUGGUGGCGUGCGAGGGUGGGAGAUUGGGAGCUUUGUUGUGGGUCUUGACAACAAUGGUGGCGAGGACGGGAGAUUGGGGGCUUAAAUUAAUAAAGUAAAAAAAGUGGCUUUUAUAUGGAUUUACAUGGAGAAUUAAGGCCAAUUUACAUGGAAAAUACCUUUCAUAUAAACACUUUAAUAUGAUUUAAUAAUAACUAAUUAGGAAAAUUAAGUACCUAUGAAAGGUAUAUAUGAGGUUUAAUGAUAAAUUAAAAUAUUUAUAUGGCAAAGUGAUAAUUAAAUCCUCAAUUUUUAAUAUUAUCAUAAAUAACUUUGAGCUAAAUGUGAAAAAAAAAUUGUUUUAUUAAAAUUUUCAGCUUAUUUAAUUAUAACUAUUUUAUUUUUUAAUUUAUAUAAUAUUUUUAUAAUUUUUUGAAAAUUUUAAUUAUCUUAUUUUACGUAUCACUCGAUACCAAACCGAGACACCGAUACCAAUAUGCCUUGUGACCCUCCGAGUCAAUGACCGAUACUGCGACUUUGAACCAUGGUGAGUAUGGCGUGGUUACGGUGGUUGUGAUGUAUGGAGAUUUAGAGAGAGGAAUGGGUACGAGGGACUCGGUGGGUGCUAAAGUGAAAGGAUGAUGGUGGCUAUGUGCAUGGGCCUCCAUGCAGGUGGAGAAUAAUGCAAAUGGGAUGAAGGCGGGUGUGAUGGGUGGUGGGAAUGGAUAGUAUGUAGGGUGAAUGAUGACGGGUUUUGAGGAUGGGCUCGGUUAUGUGGGGGGUGAGGAACUAUUGAGUGCAUGGUUCAAAGUUGCGGUAUCGGUCAUUGACUCGGAGGAUCCCGAGGCAUAUCGGUCUCGGUGUAUCGGUUUGGUAUCGGACGAUACGUAAAAUAAGCUAAUUAGAAAAUUUAAAAAAUUAUAAAAAUAUUAUAUAAAUCAUCAGAAAAAUAUAUACAAUUAAAUAAACUCAAAAAAUUAAUAAAAUAAAAUUGUAUUACAUUUAACAUUAUUUAAAUAGUUAUAAAAGUAUUUGCUCAAAGUUAUUUAUAAUAAUGCUAAUAAAAAUAAAUAUAUCGGUCUCGAAAUCAACUUAAAGUCAACUAUAAUCAAUAUGAUCUUUAGAGGUAAGAUCUAUAGACGGGGGUGCAUAAAUAAUUUUUUUUUUAUCAAUUUAGACUAAUACAUCAACAUAAUUAUUAUUUUAAGCAAUUACUUAAAUUAUUAACCUCCUUCCGAGGUAAUAUUAAUACAUUAUUCUUAUAUGAUUCUUUAAACAAAUUUUAAUUUAAUUUUUUUAUAUAUAAUUAAUUUUAAUUAUAUUUGAUUUUUUUUUAUAUAUAUUUUUAUAAAAAAUCAUGCAUGAAAAUUUUAUUUUUCUUAAUAUAUUUUUGAAGAAAUCAUUUUUUUUCCAUAAGCUUAAAACACCAAAUUUUUAUUUUUUUAUUUUUUUAUAUAGAAAUACAUGGACCAUAUGAAUUGAACUUGGGCUGGCCUAAUCUGGUGGGCUGAACCCGUAAAAAUAUGUCAUGGUGCUGAGCCACAUAGGAUCAAAGACCUAUCUUCUCCUAUCUUCCCUCCACUGAAAGCAGAGAGUGCGAUCUGCAGAGAGUGAAACCGCCAUGGCCAUCUCUCUCUUCUCCUAGCUUGCCCUCCACCGUGGACGCUCACGACGUUGGUUCUGCCGGUGGUGCCAUCAAAUCCUAUUUUCUUCACUGCACAAAGCUCUUCUCUGCUCCCAAACUCGGAAUGAGGGUUGUUUAGCUGGUGUUCAGUCACCGCUGCGGCACCAGCAGCGCACCAAAGAUGAAAAAUCUUCACUCCUGAUUUAUCUAAAAAUGUUGAUUCUUGUUGUGAUGGGUUUCAGAAUCUGUUGAUUUUUUUUUUUUUUUUCCGAGUCCACCGAGUUAACUCGGAAUAUUGGUCGAGUCAUCCAAGUCCAACCGAUUCAAAGCCGAGUUUAGGUAUAAAAUGUAUCUGGUAUCGGACUCCUCGCGGUCGGCGUCGAGGCGGAUAUUACUCGGCCGAUAUUUUGAACCCUGAUUGAGUGCAGAUGAAGGUGAGACUUUUUGGUGGCGAUGCUGAGAACGAAACUUUCAAGAGGAACAACAAGAAAAGAGAACCAAGAACGGGAGUGAGAUGAACCCAUACAUGCCUCAUUUCUUAUAUCAACCAAUCAACUCGAGUGGCCAAAACGAAUUUCAAAGGGGUUUCAAAAAGUAAAAAACAAGACAUGAAUGGCAGUGCCACAUACAAAAACUCAAAACAAAGUUCGAAAAACAGGUUGGAACUCAAGCAUAGUGCAGGUGCAAGUGAGCUCAGAUUCCAUAAAAAUACAUGAAUCCCCAACACGUACACUCAGGCAUCAGAAUGAAAAUCUCCUCAUGCACAGAAAACAUCCUAAAAUGGUAUAAAAAAAUAAAGGAAUCCAGUUUGUAGAGUCUAUACCUGUGUUACCUGUGUUAUUCCCUUUCCCAAAAUCUCCAGCUAUCUUCCAAACGUCCCCCCUUGCUCCCCUUUUCAUAUGUUCCCCCCUCCUCUCCAGCAAAAAAGAAGUCUCCUCUAAUAUCUCUCAAAACCCCUGUUUUUGUCUCCCCCCGCAAGCCACACUACUCGCUCCAUGCUCAGGGAAGAUGUCAUCCUCAACCACCACCAUGGCCAGCCAUGCCAUUUGCCACACGUCCACGCAGCUAGUUUUCCUCUAGAAAGAGGUCCCCCCACUAAAAAAAAAGAUCGAAAUAUUCAACCAUCCCUAGGUCUCAAAACAAAAGAAAGGUCCCCCCUUUAAAGAGUCUACACAAUUACAUUUACAAAAUAAAUUUAAUAUGUAUAUUCUUUCUUAUUUUAUCAUUUUGAGUUAUUUUUAUUCGCUCAUAUUUUUAUUAAAAUAUCCACCGAUAUUUCUCUCAUAUUUUCAAUAUAUUCAUAAAAUCCAAGUAUUCACCUAUAUUUCAAACUUUGGUUCUAAUUAUUUCACAUACAGAAUCUCAAAAAAAAAAAAAAGAAUUCUUACAAAUAUAAAAUCAUGAUUUAAUUGAUUACAAAUUAAAUUUACUAAUUUUGAAAAACCAGUUUCCAAAUCUAAAAAAAUAAAAAUAAAUUAUAAGUGCAAAAAUCAUGGCUUAGUUGACUACAUGGUAAAUUUAUUAAUUUUGUAAAACAAGAACAUAGUUUUUCACCGGUCUCAUAGGCUACAUUAUUUUUAGGGACUUACUCUAACCAACAUCCACACUAUACUUUUACGGCCUUGGCAUAACAUGCUAUAUAUACUUUAGUGGACAACCUUAACUCCUUGGUGAACGGAUGCCAUUAACCAUCAACUCUACUAAAAAAUAUGACAAAAUCUAAGAGUUUGGAGAUAUUUUAAUGAAGGAUUGAUAAUUUAGAACUAUAAGCAUGUAAUGGUUUUGAUGCAAUAACCAUAUUUAUAAAGAAAAAUUCUUAAUGGUUGAAUUGUACUAUCAAACUUUUCAAAACAUAGGUAAGUAUAAUUAUAAAGCAAAAAAAAAAAAAAAAAUGGAAAGUAUAAUUAUAAUUUUUUUUAUAUAUUAAAUAACACAUAUAUUGGUAUUAUAUAUAUAUAUAUAAAUUUAUUUUUUAAAACAAAAUAUUUUAUUUUAUAAAAUAAAUAAUAUUAUAAAUAAAAUAGAUGAGAAAAAAAUAAUAUUAAUUAUACCUCAACUUAUAUCUCAACUUGUGAUCAACAUAUAUUUUAGAAAGGAUAUUAAAAAAGAGCACAAAUAAUAUAUUUCAUCACUUAUUUUAUCUCAUCUUCGUUUGUUUCUUAUUAUAUCUUAUGUUAUCUGGUGCCAAUUCAAAACUUUUUCCAAAAACCACUUGGAGAUCAUAAAAUCCUAUUAGAAGUAGAAAGAGUAAGGUUGCAUCCUUGAAAUAUAGAGUCUGUUUGAUAAUGAUUUUAAGAAACGUCUUUAAUUUUUUUAACACUUGAAAUUUUUUGUCAUUUAAGUAUUAAAAAUUUUAGAAACAUUUUCUAAAAUCCUUCUCGAACGCACUCUUACAUGAGUAUCUCCGUUCUAAUUUUGAAAAGAUAACAUAUGAGAUGAGAUGUCAACAUUGAAUUAACAUCGAAACGGUGAAAACACCAAAGGCUUCCAAAUUGAUUUUGAGCCACAAUCAUAUAUGCAUUCACACUUGUUGUCAAGGUAUCAACAUUUCUGCUAGGAAUGGAUACACAGGCAUGCAGGAGUAUUCAUAAUCAUACCUUUGAUACACCAAAUGUACUCUUCUGUUUGCUCUCCAAGAAAAUGUUCCUUGUUCAAGGAGAAAGUGACCCUUUUGUUUAUAAAAUAGGAUUGGCAUCAGCAGAGCUUUGAACUGGUCAGCUGGAUGAGUACAUCAUCUCACUCAUAAGUUAAUACUUAUUCAAGUUGUACAUGAGGAAUUUAAUUUUCAUAUACAUGAUCAUACGCAAACGUCUCUUGAAUAUUUGUAAUUUGAAAAUUUAAGUAGUUCUUCUAAAUGAUUUUUUUUUUCUUUUGACUUUUGCCUUGCUCCUUCCAAGUCCAUAUUGAAGAGAUCAUCAUCUUAGCCAAGGUUUGACAGCAUGCCCAAGAGUGGUUUUGUUCUUGGAGCUGAGAAAAAACCAUUAUUGUUCUUCUUACUUAGAAUAUAUAUAGCUCUGAAUUAAUUUUCCUUUUAGCUCUUACCAAUUCUGAAUUUGGGUUUGGCUAAAAAGUUUGAAUCAAAUUGAGGGUGGAUGAUAUUCCUCAGUGAACAGGAUUGAUUGUUUUGAAUUUGUAGUUCAAAGUUCACUGCUCAUUCAAAAAUAGCUUCAUUACUCGAUUUUCUCUUAAGUGCACAUCACCUUCAAAAUUUUAGACAUUCUCUCUGUUUCUUUGAAGCUUUACCAUUACAUCACUGUAUUAAAAAAAAAAAUGCUAUAUAUGAAAUGUCUGAUACUAUAUAUAGGCUUUCAAGCAGCAAACUCUUCAAACAGAAAGUCAAUUUUUCUCACAAGUCCUCCACCUGAGAGAAAAGAAAGAGAAAAAUGGAAUCAGAGAGAAUUUUGCUUGCAUUUUCUGUGUGUAUCUGAAUUUUUGAGCUGCACCAGCACUAAAAUUCAUUAACCCAGGAGUCUUUAUUGUGGAAUAGGUUGGUGGCAAUGGAGAGUGGUGACAUUAGCGGAGUAGUUAGUGGACGUAUAAUUGUUUCUAACAUACUGAGGAACAGCUCCGUGGAAGUUUUCUCGAGAUCUUCUCGGGAAGAAGAUGAUGAAGAAGCCCUGAAAUGGGAAACAGGAUCAAAGUUGUAAUUGUCAAAGUCGUAAAAAAUGCUUCAGGCCCACACUGCCACAACCAUUGUGACAAUUGAGGUUUGCCAAUGACUGUUAGUUUGGAAGAAGUGGGGAUGACCACGACUAGGAAAAUGUUGAAUUCCACGUAAUCCAAUUUUAAAGUUAACUUCAAGUUUUAAAAUAUCUGAAUAUAUACUUCAUAUAUCCUCAAUAUAUCAAAUAUCUAUGAAUCUCGACAAUAUCCAUCAAUAUUCGAAAAUUCGGAUAUUUGACCACUAUUUCAUAGAUCGUUUCAACCUAUAUUUCACUUAUAUUUUUGGAUGUUUUAUCAAUAUUUUAUUUUUUCUAUUCUUUGAAUUGUUACAUUUGAUUUAAUUUAUUAUCAAAAAUAUAAACACAUAAUUUUUCCUAAUAUGUUUUUUUAUAUAAUCUAUAUAUUUAUUAAAUAUAAAAAAUAUAAAUGUUAAAAAAAUUAUACAUAUAUUAUUAUUUAAUUGAUAUCAUAGAAUACAUUUAAAUUAAAACGGAUCAUAAUUUUAAUAUUAAAUAUUUUUUAAAAUUAGACAUAUUAUCCAAAUAUUAUUAUAAAAUAAUAUAUAAUACAACUUAAUAAUAAAUGUAUAUUUAUAAAAUUUAUAUUUUUAUUGAUGUAAAUUAUAUAUAUAUAUAUAUAUCAUUUUUUUUAAAAAAAAACCUAUAAAAUGUUUAUUUUUACUUCUUAUAUAAUUUUUUUUUAGAAUUUUUCUUAAUAUUUUCAUAAUUUUCAUUAAUUUUAAACCAAUAUUUUGUGUCAAAAUAUUUGUCAAUAUAUCCGUUAUUACCAAUAUUUUCAUCAUUGAUUAACUCAAUAUCCCACUAUAGAGUCAAUUACAUUCUAGUAUCUUGUAAUAUUAAAACAAAAAGCAAGAACUCGAAUCCAUGACCUACUAGUCAUUUUAUUUGGAUUUCCUAUGAACCGGUAUUCAUAUUAUGAGGUUAAUGUUAUCAACUUCUCAAGAUUACCUUUAUAAUCUUUAAGUCUUGAAUUCUUCUAUUAUGUGAUUAUUUGACAUACUCUAGCUCAUAAAGAGUGCGUGUCAAAUUUUAAUUAAGGAAUUAAUUAUGGCUAUAAAUUUCCUAAUCACAUGUCCUUAUGAUUACCUAAUGGACCGUGUUGUCUUAAAUUCAUAAGAUAUCAUGGUUGUCUAUCUUAAGUACAUCCAUUAUCAUCGGCCUCCAUCAACAGUAACCCAAUCUAUCAACAACUUGCAUGACUUUUGAUUUUAAUUUACAUAUGACUUCUAAUUAUCAAAAUUAAUUUUACAUUAACUUCUAACUACAUAAUAAUUUGUACAUAACAUCUAACAAUUGUGGUAUUAAAUGAGAGUUGAACAAAGUUUUUGGCAUGACCAAAUAAGAUAAUUUGUUUAUAACUUCUAGCUAUAUAUAACAAAAUAAAUGCUAAUAGAAAUAUGUGACAUAUAUUCUAUAGUAAUAAUCUCAAAGUAAGGAUCAAAAAAUUAUCUCAAAGCAAAUCAUGUCAAUAACGUGUUAUAAAACUAAAAACAAACUAAAAAUCUUGUAUAAAGGAGAGUUUAAGAUGACUAGAGAAAGAAUUUCUUUUGAUAUAUAACUAUUUGAAUAUCAAAAUGCCUAUUUAAAGGUUUACAAAAUCACAUUAAUUGAUACUUCCUAAUUCAAUUUUAAAUAAAUGGAACAAUAAAUAUAAUAAUUGUGACAAAUGGAUGAGAGGGGUAGGUGUUAACCAAACUACGCCCACACCCAAGUAUAAAAUAAAGAAGAAAAAAAAUUAACGUGGUUCAACGAUCAAUGUGAUCUCUAGCGAAGCGCAACUCCCGCAAGCUAAUCAGGUGGCUUGACCCCAGACAUUCUGAGCAAAGCACAAUAAAAUUGACUUAGACUUCAUAAUCCAAUAAUAGGGUGGUGAAGGUGAUGGUCAUCCAUCGUAACAUUGAAUGCAUUAAUAAAUACAUUUACAAUGGAUAUUAUAUUUUAUGGACGAAAACUACAUUACCCAACUUCAUGUGAUAUGGGCCAAACAAUAACCAAUUAGGAAAAUUCAACAUUAUGAAUUCUUUGUUUCAUUUUUCAUUUUUGGUAGCCAAGCAAGCAAAACUUAGAUUCAUACCUUAUCCAAACAUGUUAUGGUAAAACCCAAAAAAGUAAAUGAUAAACACUACUAAGUGAAGCUUAAUGAUAAAUUAUUUCUUUCUUUAGCUUCUUUCCCAAGUAAAUAGACAGGAAAAUGAGGGGAAAGACAAGUUGAGUGAAGCUGAACUGGCACAAAAGUAGGCCGACGUCUUCUUCAGUAUAUUGAAUUAGAGUAACACAAAUCAAACAAGGGUUUGGUAUAUUAUUUGGCCUAUCGAAACUGUUAUAUGGCAACAUCAAAUUGUCAAAACAAACUCCUUUCCUAAGAAAUUGAAUUGAGCUGUGGCUGCCGUCAGCUGAAAUCUCUCUUAACCUAUGUAUUCUUUUGUUUGCUCUCCAAGAAAAUGCAUCUUGUUCAAGGAGAAAGUGACAUUUUUGUUUAUAGAAUAGGAUUGGCAUCAGCAGAGCUUUGAACUGGUCAGAUAGAUGAGGAAUUUGUCUUGCUCCUUCCAGGUCCAUAUUGAAGAGAUCAUCAGCUUAGCCAAGGUUUGACUUCAUUCCCAAGUGUGGUUUUAUUCUUGGAGUUGGGAAAAAAACCACCAUUGUUCUUCUUACUUAGAAUAUAUAUAUAUA
rnacentral:lncRNA from 1 species